rnacentral:rRNA from 1 species
AGAGUUUGAUCCUGGCUCAGAGUGAACGCUGGCGGCGUGGAUUAGGCAUGCAAGUCGAGCGAUCCCGAUGGAGCGACGAGGUCGACCGCAAGGAAGGCCGAGAAGUGAAAUCGGGAUAGCGGCAGACGGGUGAGUAACGCGUGAGUAACUUACCUCUAAGCUGAGGAUAGCCUUACGAAAGUGAGGGUAAUACUUGAUGUGUUUAUGAUGACAUAAGUCGUCAUAGGUAAAGGUGGCCCGUAAGGGCUACUGUUUAGAGAUGAGCUCGCGUCCUAUCAGCUAGUUGGUAGGGUAAUGGCCUACCAAGGCUAUUGACGGGUAGCUGGCCUGAGAGGGUGGUCAGCCACACGGGGACUGAGACACUGCCCCGACUCCUACGGGAGGCUGCAGUCGAGGAUCUUUAGCAAUGGGCGCAAGCCUGACUAUGCGACGCCGCGUGAGGGAUGAAGGUUUUCGGAUCGUAAACCUCUUUCGAUGGGGAAGAAAUUUCCGCCAUAAAUAGUGGCGGAAGCUGACUGUACCCAGAGAAGAAGCCACGGCUAACUCCGUGCCAGCAGCCGCGGUAAUACGGAGGUGGCGAGCGUUACUCGGAUUCAUUGGGUGUAAAGGGCAGGUAGGUGGCUAUGUAAGUUGGAGGUGAAAUCCUUUGGCUCAACCAAAGAACUGCCUUCAAAACUACAUAGCUUGAGGCUGGGAGAGGAGAGUGGAAUUCCCGGUGUAAGGGUGAAAUCUGUAGAUAUCGGGAGGAACACCAGUAGCGAAAGCGACUCUCUGGUCCAGCCCUGACGCUGAGCUGCGAA